rnacentral:lncRNA from 1 species
UAAAUCAUUUCUUCACAGAGCGUCAGGAUGUGUUAUACACUGAAGUGAAGAGUUUGAUGCUCGGUUUGAGUUCUGCGGUAUCAGCGCUGACAUCCAAACUAAAUGAUGCAGUUGGCAAGCAGGACCAGAAACAGACUGAAACAAAAAAAUUAUUAGAUAGUUUGAGCUCAUCUGUUACUUCUCUACAGUCUGAUCAACAAAAGAAGCAGCGUGACUUUGAGUCUCUGUCGAGCUCACUGAGGGACCUGAAGAGUUCAGUUUCAGAUCUUACUACUUCUGUCGCAUCUAUUUCUUCUCGACUAUCCAUCAGCAAGCAGGAUGUGUCGCAAAGUGACAUAAAGAGUUUGAUGAACAGUUUGAGUUCUGCAGUGUCAGCACUGACGGCGCAGCUGAAUGAUGCAGGUGUGGAAAUCUUUCAAUAACAUCACAUAAAUAUUAUUAUCUGUGGAUUUUUAAACUGCAGUCCUUUUUCCCUCCCAG